CUACAUCUAGAACACGGUCUGGGACUGCGUAGGAGCCCAACAAACACACUUAGCAAAUGUGUGAGCAUGGAGUUGGGGCUUUGUGUAGGUUUUAAGUGAUCACAUUAAAGAGUGAGAGAGCCAGCAUGCCAUGAAAAGAUAGUGGUAACCAGCAAAGGGGAGUGGUAUUUUAAUUGCAGGAUCAGCAGCAUCAGCAACACCUGGGCACCUGUUAGAAAUGCGGAAACCCAAGGCCCAGCCCAGACCCAUCAAACCAGAAUCUGCCUUGUGUCUGCUGUACCUCCCAGCACCUCAACCUCCAAUAUUCAGCCUAAGCUGCCGCCAUCACCACCACCACCUCAGCCUUCCAGUGUGCUCAGUGUCUUCCCGAUUCUGUGACUGGAAGGAAGGUAAGGAACAAAUGAAGCAAGUGUCUGGAGAAGACGGUUUCAGAUACAGAAAGCAGCAGACGCAAAUCUCUGAGCAGGACCUUGUUCAUGGAUGCCAGAACAUGCUGGAGUCUCUAGUAGCUGGAGAAGAGCCUGUGGGUUGCCUCUUCACUCUGUUGAUUAUUUCCUUUGCUGCGCAGAAGCUUUUUCCUUUGAGGCCCACUGACCUGGGAUAUUCUAAAAUUUGAUGAGGGAAAGAUUCACCCUGAACUAACAUCUAUGGUCACAAAUCUUCCUCUUCUUUUUUUCCUUCUUCCCCCUAAGGCCCCAGUGGAUGGUUGUACAUCUCAGUUCUAAGUCCUUCUGAUUCUUCUAUAUGAACCACCACCACAGCAUGGCAACUGACAUACGGGCGGGGUGAUUCUGCGACCCGGAAGCAAACCCGAGCUGCUGAGGCAGAGAGCGCUAGAUGUUAACGAUUAGACCACCAGGACUGGCCCUAGAUUUAUUUUUAUUAUCUAAUUUAGUGGUGCGUAUUUGUUGUGCUUUUUUCCCUUCAUCUAUUUGAUCAGUUAUUUUUCUUGAUUUUGUAUUCUUUAGCUCUGCUGGUUUGGAAUCCCAUACAUUCUGUUUCUCCAAAAUACACUUUCGCUUUCUCUCCAUAUCCCUCCAAUUUAUACAUUAUAUUGAUCUUAAUUACAGUUUUAUAAUUUUUUAUUUUUAAUAUUAGAAAAUUAAUUUUUAUAUUACCCACAUAUAUACAAAUUUACUUCUUCACCACAGAGUCUUGCAUUUUAUUCUUUUUUCCCUCUGGAUUUUAGUUCCAUCUUCAUGAAGAACAUAUUAAAAUAUUUUUUUCAAGAAUAAUUGUGAACAGUAAACUCUCUGUUGUCCCAUGUGUGUUGCACUCGUUACUUCUGUUGCUUAACUGAGUCUUUCUUUUCUUCCUCAGCUUCUCUUCUCUGAUUCUUGUUAGACAUGCAGCCAGGGCUUCACACCCUCAUCUCCUGGUCUCUUAAACAAUCUUCCAUGUUUUCUGCACCCCUGUGCUGUAUUCAUUCAGCGCACUUCUCAGUCAUGGCAGCUUGUGUUUUCAUAGAAUUUUAAUAACGCAUUUAAUUUUUGCACACAUUUGGUGGGCUUGCUUUUCUGUGAAAACUUCUUCAACUAUGACCCUCUGGAGAAUCAUUAGUCAAGAACAAAUUUUACUUUAAACAUUUGAUUAUGGGGAGAGAAGCAGAUGUUCUUAUGUAGUGUGAACAAUGGAAAUCCAAACCCCAAACGCCAUGAAGUCCCUUGUUUUUCAAUGAUCUGGAGACCCAGCGCCUAGGGAGCGAGAAGAUAGAUGAUGGAAGAUAGAUAGAAGAUAGAUCCCUGUGCUAGUAGAGAGUUUCUUGUUUUUGUUUUUCUAGUUUAGCCUGUCAUAACUUGAGAUUAUUCAACUGCAAUUCAUUGUUUUAUAUAUGAGUCAAUAAUUUCUUAACUUUGACAGUUUUUUAAACUUGUUUUUACUAUUUUUAAAAAUGUUAUUAUUAAUGUGAUCUCCCACAUUGCUGGAACUGAAGAUUAUCCUGGUCAAUUUCUCAUAUAAUUACUGCUAAAUCAAUAUUAAUAUACUCUUAAAGUUAAUAAAAAUUAUUAGAACUUCAUCUUAUUCUACAUACAUUCAUACCAAUAUAAGACUAUACUUUAAAAUACUUUGGGAAUUGAAAAUAUUAUAAAGUUAAUCUGUAUAAUUAACUCAUAAGAAAGUUUCCUUGUUAUCUGAGAGAUUAAGCUAUGGUCUGUUUUUUUUAUUAUGAGAAUUUACUGAGUGUUUAUUCUUUGUAGAAAUGUAUUCUCAUUGAGCUUGCAGCACUAACUUUUUCAAAGUGCUAUGGAUUUUAUUUUAUGGAGGAAUAAAAUUUCUUGAAUUAACUUCAGGUUAUAA
ensembl:lncRNA